GAGUUUGAUCCUGGCUCAGGACGAACGCUGGCGGCGUGCUUAACACAUGCAAGUCGAACGAUGAAGCCUUUCGGGGUGGAUUAGUGGCGAACGGGUGAGUAACACGUGGGCAAUCUGCCCUUCACUCUGGGACAAGCCCUGGAAACGGGGUCUAAUACCGGAUAACACUCUGUCCCGCAUGGGACGGGGUUAAAAGCUCCGGCGGUGAAGGAUGAGCCCGCGGCCUAUCAGCUUGUUGGUGGGGUGAUGGCCUACCAAGGCGACGACGGGUAGCCGGCCUGAGAGGGCGACCGGCCACACUGGGACUGAGACACGGCCCAGACUCCUACGGGAGGCAGCAGUGGGGAAUAUUGCACAAUGGGCGAAAGCCUGAUGCAGCGACGCCGCGUGAGGGAUGACGGCCUUCGGGUUGUAAACCUCUUCAGCAGGGAAGAAGCGAAAGUGAC
rnacentral:rRNA from 1 species